AUGAUGUCAGCUGGCCCGGAGCGGCGGCCGUGCGGCAGCGGGGAUGGGGCCGAGGACGCCGCGCGGCCGUCUGCACGCCCCUCGCCCGGCCCGGGCCCCGGCUCGCUGGCCCCGUCGCCCGGCAGCCCCGGCGCCGCCGCGGCCCAGUCGCCCGCGAACCUGUGGCUGGAGCUCGGACCCGCCUGCACGAGAGCGCAGCAAUGCCCGAGCGAGUCCAGCGGGCAGACGAGCGGGGACCUCGGCACCAGCAGCAGCAGCGGCGGCGGCAGUAGCGCCGGGCUGUCGCCGGGCUCCGACUCGGACAGCAGCGGCGUGGUGUGCGGGGGCCGCGGCGGCAGCGGGGGCAUGCGCGGCGCCCUGUCCCGCUCCUGGAGCCUGGAGAGCCUGCGCUCGGCCACCGCCGCCCUCCCUGAUGGAGCUCUGGACACAGCCCUCCGUGGAGAUGAGGCGGGCAGUGAGGAGGACCUGUAUGAGGAUGUGCACAGCUCCAGCCACCACUACAGCCACACUGGAGGGGGCGGCGAGCAGUUGGCCAUCAACGAGCUCAUCAGCGAUGGCAGUGUGGUCUGUGCCGAAGCGCUCUGGGACCAUGUCACCAUGGAUGACCAGGAACUGGGCUUCAAAGCUGGAGAUGUCAUCGAAGUGAUGGACGCCACCAACAGAGAGUGGUGGUGGGGCCGCGUCGCUGACGGCGAGGGCUGGUUUCCAGCGAACUUUGUGCGGCUGCGGGUGAACCAGGACGAGCCUGCAGACGAUGAGGCGCUGGGGCCUGGGCAUGGAGGGGCUGGGGACGGCGGGGGCACCGAGGCACAGGGCAGCAGGGACCAGAUGCGGACCAAUGUCAUCAACGAGAUCCUCAGCACGGAGCGAGACUACAUCAAGCACCUGCGAGACAUCUGCGAGGGGUACCUCAGGCAGUGCCGCAAGCGGGCAGACAUGUUCAGCGAGGAGCAGCUGCGCACCAUCUUCGGGAACAUCGAGGACAUAUACAGGUGCCAGAAGGCCUUUGUGAAGGCGCUGGAGCAGAAGUUCAACCGGGAGCGGCCGCACCUGAGCGAGCUGGGUGCCUGCUUCCUGGAGCACCAAGCAGACUUCCAGAUCUACUCAGAGUACUGCAACAACCACCCCAAUGCCUGCGUGGAGCUCUCACGCCUCGCCAAGCUCAGCAAGUACGUGUACUUCUUCGAGGCCUGCCGGCUGCUGCAGAAGAUGAUUGACAUCUCCCUGGAUGGCUUCCUGCUGACGCCUGUGCAGAAGAUCUGCAAGUACCCUCUGCAACUGGCAGAGCUGCUCAAGUACACACACCCCCAGCACAGGGAUUUCAAGGACGUGGAAGCUGCCUUACAUGCCAUGAAGAAUGUGGCCCAGCUCAUCAAUGAACGGAAACGGAGACUUGAAAACAUCGACAAGAUUGCUCAGUGGCAAAGCUCUAUAGAGGACUGGGAGGGGGAAGAUCUCCUGGUCAGGAGCUCGGAACUCAUCCACUCGGGGGAGCUGACCCGUGUCACACAGCCACAAGCCAAGAGCCAGCAGAGAAUGUUUUUUCUCUUUGACCACCAGCUCAUCUACUGUAAGAAGGACCUUCUCCGCCGGGAUGUGCUCUACUAUAAGGGCCGAGUGGACAUGGACAGCCUGCAGGUGGUGGACUUGGAGGACGGGAAGGACAGAGAGCUCCAUGUGAGCGUCAGGAACGCCUUCCGGCUGCGCUGUGGCCCCUCGGGCGAGAGCCACCUGCUGUGUGCCAAGAAGCCCGAGCAGAAGCAGCGCUGGCUCAAGGCCUUUGCCAGGGAGCGGGAGCAGGUGCGGCUGGACCAGGAGACAGGCUUCUCCAUUACCCAGCUGCAGAGGAAGCAGGCCAUGCUGAACGCCAGCAAGCAGCAGGCCAUUGGGAAGCCCAGAGCCCUCGGCCGACCCUACUACCUGGCACGUCAGAAGCAUCCGACCCUCCCCACCAGCCUGCCUCAGCAACAGGUCCUGGUGCUGGCAGAGCCCAAGCGAAAGCCAUCCACCUUCUGGCACAGCAUCAGCCGGCUGGCACCCUUCCGCAAGUGAGCCCGUGCCCCACUAGUGGCACCAUCUGGACCUGCCUUGCCGGUGGGCCUCCAGCUCUUCCUAUCCGAGGCUCACCACAUCCGGCCCUCUGUCUGUUCUGCAAACUGCAAGUUAGCAGGGCUGAGUGUGGGAUCCGCUCAGUGCCCGCAUUCUCAGUUUCCUCCCCAGUGCUGGGGUGCUGAAGAAGUUGGCUGGAGAGGCAGGCCCCCGGCACGUGAACCUCCCACACCCUCCAAGCCUGUGCCGGGCUUCCUGGGAGCCACAGCUCAGAACCACCCAACAGGCCAGCGUGUGUGAGAAUGGCUGCUCUGGACCCUCUUCUUUGCACAUCUAAUCAUCCUUCCUGCUCCUGUUUCCUCUGGGCAGGAGACCGCCUCUGCCUUCAGUCACCUGCAGAGCCAGGCUGUGUACCUCUCUGCCCUCCUGCCCUCUUCACAGGCCCCCAGCUGGUGGGCCAGGCAACCUGCACCCCUGGUGGGCAGGAACCAAGAAUUCUGGGCACAGAAACAUCUGGCCUGGAGCCCACCUGUUACUUCCUCCCAGUCACUCUGUAGACACUCCCAGCUGCUGGACAUCCUCUCUUCCCUUGUGAUGUGUUUGUUUAUAGUGGAAAGAAAACAGAACCAUAGUCAACUGAAAACUUCUGUCAGGAUUUGUAACCAGUCCACCUGCAGCUGUGGGAUGAUUCUAUAACCUGGUUCCAGUUUGGAUUUUGUUGUUAAAUUCCAACAAUAGAGAAUUGUUAGUGACACAGAAAGAUUGCCUUACCCUGAGUGAGUGUGAGAAGCCAUAAGGACUGAAUUCUGUGGCCCAGCACCCAGGACUGACCCACCCAGAAGCUGGUGGGCACGUAGGUUGGAAGGAAGCCUACAUCCCAUGGAGGAGGGGCACCGAAGAGGGUGGCCAGGGCCUGGCAUGGGGCAGAGCACAGAGCCGCCCCUGUGGCCCGUGGGAAUUCAGCAGCAUGUACAGUCACUCUUGCACUAUACCUUCUCCAAGCAGAAACCACAUUUAAUUUCAUAAAGAAACCUGUGAAAAAUAACCUGGCUGCCAGCCCUUGUUUUCUAUUGUCUAUCCAUUUUCUCCUCCCCUCCUAUUACCUUUCCACCUCAAGCCUUUCUUUAGACUAAAGGAAUAAGCCAGGCCGCCAAGGCUUUGGUGGAGAGCAGCUCAGUGUUCAGAGGCUCAGGGAAACUAGGAGCUGUCUCAGCACCUCUGUCCCCAGCUGCUUCUAGGGUCUCUGUUGAGCUGAACUUAUCAGAAAUGUGAGUUUGGGGGACAGGCAGUGCUAAUGUUUUGGGGUCUGAGCUUCCCCUUUGGUGAAAUGGGGAAGGAUGUGUUUUCUUUCCAGGAGGACUGAGCCGACAGGACCAGGAGAGGGUGGCUUCCCUCCCCUUCCCCACAACCCGCCGCCUUCACACUUGUACACACUGCCACGGCCACAGGGGCUGAGCCGGAACCCCCUGGAUUUUCUAAGGUGAGACACACUACACCACCUCCCAUCCAGGCCAAGCCACCUGGAGGCAAAACCUAUAGGGAAAAGGCAUGAAAAUCGUAAUAUGCAACACAAGUCAAUCUUUAUUGAAAACUGCAGUAUUAAUACAUAACAAUUUACAAUAAACGUGCUUUUAAGAAUUUUAAAUCUGAGUUC
rnacentral:lncRNA from 1 species